rnacentral:rRNA from 1 species
UUAAAAUGUAAUAAAAUUUACUAAAUUAGUAUUAGUUAAGUUCUUGAAAAUUAAAAAAUUUGGCGGUAUUUUAGUCUAUUCAGAGGAACCUGUUCUGUAAUUGAUAAUCCACGAUUAAUUUUACUUAAAUUAUUAAUUUGUAUAUCGUUGUAAAUAGAAUAUUUUAAAAGAAUAAUAAUAUUCAAAAAUUUAAUUUAAAAAGAAAAUCAAAUCAAGGUGCAGUUUAUAUUUAAGAAGUAAUGGGUUACAAUAAAUUUAUUUAUAUGGAAGAUUAAUUGAAAUUUUAAUUAGAAAGUGGAUUUGAAAGUAAUUUAAUAAAGUUUUUCUAAAUGAUUAUAGCUCUAAAAUAUGU